rnacentral:misc_RNA from 1 species
CUGAAGGUCUGGGUCACACUGAUCACAAUAUCACAAUAAUAAUGCAGGGGGAUUGCUAGGGCAGUUACGAUGUCGCAAACGAUGAGGCACACACCAUAGAAAAAAAAUUAAGCUAAGCAGAAAACACAACAACACUACCAAGAACAGCAACAACACAGCGGAGUUAUUUUCGGCCCCAAAUCAGAGAUUGCGGAAGCCACGGCCCGGACAAGACACGGAAGUUACUCUUAACAGUCGACCCCUCUCGCAAGACCAGACCCUGAGGAGUCAUGGCCGCGGUGCUGCCCGAGAACGCAGCCGAUCCAAUUGCCGUUGCCAAUGAAAUCAAUAACAUCAACGGGAACCCGAAUGGAAAUGGGAACGCCAACGCGCGUAAUCGCGGCCUAGGGGGCGGCGCUGGACAGAACAAUAUGAUGAACAUGCGGGAUAGGCUUUUCCAUGCGAUCUACUUUCGGGCGGCGGCCGCCUAUGCGGAGUUGGUGCCAAGGAAGGUUCAGCUAACUAUCGAGUUCUUGCUUCUGGCCAAAGCACUGGUGUUCUUUUUCACCCUCGUCUAUGUGCACAAUGCCUUCAUCAAGAAUCCAUGCACCUGUCUGCAGGAGGUACAGAACUGGCCGCGAGAAGGUGUCAUCAGAGUGGAAAUUAUUCCCCACCUGGCGGAAAAACGAGCCAUUUGGCAGAGUAUCAAGCAAGAUCAGCAGGUUGUGCGCUCCCUAAAAGAUUCAUAUUACUAUGACGUGGGCCCUCAGACUCUGGAUAACUACAAUAGACUAAAACGCUAUGAGGCGAUCCUGCGCAAGCUGGGCUUGCCUGUUCGUCCAACCGUUGCCUACAGCAACGAGACCCUGUACUACUACUUCGAUGCCAUCAACAUACUGGACACCUACGAUCACCCCAAUGCCAUACAGCUCAAGAACGAAGACGAUGAUGAUGAGCAAUACAUUGUCGAGUAUUCGCUGGAAUAUGGACACUUGCGCCUCUCAUCAGCCACCCGCAAGCGGCUGCAAAUACCUGUGCUCACAGUGCAAUUAGAUCCCAAUACGAACGAGUGUUUCGGUGAUAAAUUAACACGUUACCUGCUCAAGCGUCUGCUAGGCUACGAUGACCUACUGAUGGCGUCGGUGCGCACCAUAGCGGAAAAGGAGGAGAACAAGGGCUAUUUGCGUAAUGUGAUCACGGGCGAGCACUAUCGUUUUGUGUCCAUGUGGUGGGCUGCCUGGAGCAGCUAUCCGGCUGCCUUUUCUGUGAUGUUGCUGUUUACGUUCUCCGUCUCCAUGCUUCUUCGGUACUCGCAUCAUCAGAUCUUUGUUUUUAUAGUGGAUCUGCUACAAAUGCUGGAGUACAAUGUCUCUGCUAGGUUUCCCAUUGCUCCGCUGCUGACCGUUAUCCUGGCGCUCGUAGGUGAAUGGAGGCCAUCAUGUCGGAGUUCUUUAAUGACACUACAACGGCCUUUUACAUCAUACUGAUUGUGUGGAUUGCGGAUCAAUACGACGCCAUAUGCUGUCACACCAGCAUCACCAAGCGCCAUUGGCUCAGGUUCUUCUAUCUAUACCAUUUUGCAUUCUAUGCGUAUCACUACCGCUUCAGUGGACAGUACAGGACCCUGGCCCUGCUCUCCUCGUA